GACGCGGUGGCCUAAUGGUUAGCGCUUUGGACUCUGGAUCAAGCAGUCCGGGUUCGAGCCCUGGCCUGGGUCA
rnacentral:tRNA from 1 species